AUUGAACGCCGGCGGCAGGCCUAACACAUGCAAGUCGAACGGCAGCACAGAAGAGCUUGCUCUUUGGGUGGCGAGUGGCGGACGGGUGAGUAAUGUCUGGGAAACUGCCCGAUGGAGGGGGAUAACUACUGGAAACGGUAGCUAAUACCGCAUAACGUCGCGAGACCAAAGUGGGGGACCUUCGGGCCUCACACCAUCGGAUGUGCCCAGAUGGGAUUAGCUAGUAGGUGGGGUAAUGGCUCACCUAGGCGACGAUCCCUAGCUGGUCUGAGGGGAUGACCAGCCACACUGGAACUGAGACACGGUCCAGACUCCUACGGGAGGCAGCAGUGGGGAAUAUUGGACAAUGGGCGCAAGCCUGAUGCAGCCAUGCCGCGUGUAUGAAGAAGGCCUUCGGGUUGUAAAGUACUUUCAGCGGGGAGGAAGGCGGUGAAGUUAAUAACUUCACCGAUUGACGUUACCCGCAGAAGAAGCACCGGCUAACUCCGUGCCAGCCGCCGCGGUAA
rnacentral:rRNA from 1 species